AUCGAACGCUAGCGGGAUGCCUUACACAUGCAAGUCGAACGGAGUGGCGAACGGGUGAGUAAUGUAUCGGAACGUGCCCAGUAGCGGGGGAUAACUACGCGAAAGCGUAGCUAAUACCGCAUACUUUUGGAGCAGCCGGUAUCGGAUUGGCUAGUUGGGGGGGUAACGGCUCACCAAGGCGACGAUCCGUAGCUGGUUUGAGAGGGCGACCAGCCACAAUGGGACUGAGACACGGCCCAGACUCCUACGGGAGGCAGCAGUGGGGAAUUUUGGGCAAUGGGCGAAACCCUGAUCCAGCCAUCCCGCGUGUGCGAUGAAGGCCUUCGGGUUGUAAAGCACUUUUGGCAGGAAAGCGGUACCUGCAGAAUAAGCACCGGCUAACUACGUGCCAGCAGCCGCGGUAAUUC
rnacentral:rRNA from 1 species